rnacentral:rRNA from 1 species
GACGAACGCUGGCGGCGUGCUUAACACAUGCAAGUCGAACGAAGUGGCGAACGGGUGAGUAACGCGUAAUCAACCUGCCCUUAAGAGGGGGACAACAGUUGGAAACGACUGCUAAUACCGCAUACUGACGGGGGGGAUUGCGGGGGAUUGGCUAGUGGGGGGGGUAACGGCCCACCAAGGCGAUGAUCAGAAGCCGGUCUGAUAGGAUGAACGGCCCAAUGGGGACUGGGCAACGGCCCAGACUCCUACGGGAGGCAGCAGUGGGGAAUCUUCCGCAAUGGAGGAAAGUCUGACGGAGCAACGCCGCGUGAGUGAUGACGGCCUUCGGGUUGUAAAGCUCUGUUAAUCGGGACGCGGUACCGGAAUAGAAAGCCACGGCUAACUACGUGCCAGCAGCCGCGGUAAUAC